CAUUUUGUGUAUGUACUGACAGUUGGCAGUACUUCAGAGGUAGAGUAAGUACCAUAUUGUAUAUGUACUGACAGGUGGCAGUAUGUCAGAGGUAGAGUUUGUACCAUAUUGUGGAUAUACUGACAGUUGGCAGUACUUCAGAGAUAGAGUAAGUGCCAUAUUGUGUAUGUACUGACAGUUGGCAGUACGUCAGAGGUAGAGUAAGUGCCAUAUUGUGUAUGUACUGACAGUUGGCAGUACUACAGUGGUAGUUGGCAGUAUGUACUUCAGAGGUAGAAUAAGUACCACAAUGUGGAUAUACUGACAGUUGGCAGUACUUCAGAGUUAGAGUUAGAACUAUAUUGACAACUAUACUUCUAAAUUACAGAAAGCACUAGUACUAUUGUGGAAGUACUGACAGUACUGUAGAGACGGAGUAAGAACUAGUACUAUGUUUGAUGAACUGACAGUACUUUCAAGAUAGACAAAUACCCUUGUGGAAAUACUGAAAGCAGUGCUUCAGAUUUAGAGAAAGGACUUGUACCAUUAUGGAUGCACUGACAGUUGGCAGUACCUUAGAGUUAGAGAAAGUACUUUACCAGUGUAGAUAUACUGACAGUUGUUAGUACUUCAUAGGUAAGGUAAUACUCUGUACCAUUCCUAAUGUCCAUACAGUUGAGGUAGAGAAAGUAAUAGUAUUAUUGUAGUGAUAAUGAAAAUUGGAAAUAUUUCAGAGAUAAUCUGGAUCUCGAGAUAUAGUAAAAAAUACAUCAAAGGUAAAGGGACUACGAUGUUGGGUGUCAUGUUAGUUGACAGUAUUUCAAAGGUAGAAUAAGUACCAUUGUGGAUGAACUGAAAUUUACCAUACUUAACAUGUAAAGCAAUAUCACUAUGUAUGCACUUACAGUUGACAGUAGGUAAGGGGUCAAGAAAUGUCCAUUGUCAAUGUAGUGGAGUUGAUAGUUCAUCACAAGUAGAUUUAGUUCCAAAUGUCGAUGCACUGAUAUUAUACAGGACUUUAAAGGUAAAUAAAUUUCUAACAUCAUUGUGAGUGUACCGACAAUGGACAGUAUUUCAUGGGUGGAGUUAGUAUCAUUAUGGAACUACUGACGGUUGACAGUACUUCUGAGGUAGAGUAAGUACCAUUGUGGAUGUACUGACUGUUGAAAUACUUCAGAUGUAAAAGUUCUAUAGUACCAUUGUGGAUGAACUUACCGUUGGGAGUACCAGUAAAUUUAGUACUAGUUACCCGGUAAGUUGUAGAGGUACUGACAUUUGACAGUACAUCAGAGGUAGAGUAAGUUCCAUUAUGGAUAAACUGACAGUUGGCAGUAAUUAAGAGGAAGUUCAAGUAUCAUUUUGGCAGUUGGCAGCACUUCAUAGGCAGAGUAAGUACAAAUUUGUGUGUACAAAAUAAAUAGUUGUUAGUAUUUCAGAUGUAGAGUAAUAUCAAUGUGGAUGUACUGACAGUUGGUAGUACUUCAGAUAUAAAGUACCAUUAUGUUUAGGUACACAAUUGGCAGUAUUUAAAAGUUAACUACUGUUCCUAUUUAAGCAUGUGGGUGUUGCUAUCAUUUCUUACUUUAAAAUACAUUCAAUUUAAAAAUGCUAUCUAUUGAAGCAAUUGUUUCAAGUUGUAAGGUGUAGGUAUGCUACAAAGACUAAAACAGUUCAGGCAUGAGUUUUACUAAGCUUCUUAUCUUACGCAAAAAUAUUAUUACUUAAGAACUUCGUAAGAUUUAACCUUAAUUACGUAUUUCAAUUUCUUUUGAACAUAAUUUUUUCGAUUGAUAAUUUUGUUUCAUUAAUCAUAUUCUUUCUAUCAAAGGAAUGACAAGUAUCAACAACAGCACAUACAAAGACAUGAAUUUUGAGAGCGAGUCUAGUCAAAGUCAAGAAAGGCCAAGAAAACAGACAAGGGUGCAAAGGAAAGAAAAUGAAGUUCCAGUACACAUAUCACAGCUGUUAUCUAUGGAAGAGGAGAAGAUUUCUAAACUGGAGACAUACAGAUCCAGAAAAAUCAAGAUUCUUGAAGAAAUGCUUGAACUACAACGCAGAAGCACCAUU